CCCCUAAGGAGGUGUCCUGCCCAGGGAGCUGAGCCUAGUCCCAGAGGAAGGGGCCCAGAUCCAAGCAGCGGCCUCCUCCCUGGCUGUUGCCCCUAACCAGCUCUGAGAUCGUUGGGGAGAGGAGAGAAAGGGCCAAUGCCGGGAGCCACGCCAACGCCAGGAGCCACACCAACUCCAGGAGCCACGCCAACUCCAGGAGCCAAGCCAACUCCAGGAGCCACACCGACACCAGGAGCCACGCCAACUCCAGGAGCCACGCCGACACCAGGAACUAACCCUGCAAGAUUGAGAAGAGCUGAUCAUUAACCAAGACCUGAUCAAAGAGGACAGAAGCUUAUGGAAAGAGGGCUGGAGCCUCGGCCCUGGCAUAGAUUUGCUGUGUGACCCUGGAUCAGUUACUUUCCCUUGCUGGGCCUCAGCUUCCUCCUCCCUAAUAUGAAGUGUGUGCAGGCUCAGGAGUUCAUAACUUUGUUUUUUUGGAGACAGAGUCUCACUCUAUCGCCCAGGCUGGAGUGCAAUGGCGUGAUCUCGACUCACUGCAACCACCACCUCCCGAGUUCAAGUGAGUCUCCUGCCUCAGCCUCCUGAGUAGCUGGGACUACAGGUGCGCACCACCAUGCCCGGCUAAUUUUUUUGUAUUUUUAGUAGAGACAGGGUUUCACCAUGUUGGCCAGGCUGGUCUUAAACUCCUGACCUUGGGUGAUCCACCCGACUUGGCCUCCCAAAGUUCUGGGAUUAUAGUUGUGAGCUGCUGCAUUUGGCCAGGAGUUCUUAACCUUUUCAGUGACAAGGACCCCUUGGAGAUUUGAGGCUGAUGGAGGCAGAUUUACAUUAUAUAAGGGACUUUGUAAGACAGAAAGGCUUUGGGUUCAAAUCUCAGCUCAGCCACCAUUUAGCUGUGCAACUGUAGGCAAGUUACUUAAGCUCUGGGAACCUCAGUUUCCACAUCUGUAAAAUGGGAAAAAUAAAAUCAACUCUGUAAGAUUUUUGUAGGCCAGACACGUUGGCUCAUGCCUGUCAUCCCAGCACUUUGAGAGGCCAAUGUGGGAGGAUCGCAUACAAUUUUUUUUUUUUUUAAACUGGGCAUGGUGGCAUGUGACUGUAGCCCCAGCUACUAGGGAUACUAAGGGGGAAUAAUGGCUUAAGCUAGGAGUUUGAGGCCUGCGGCGAGCUGACGGCAUCACUGCACUCCAACCUGGGCGACAAUGUGAGACCCCGUCUCAAAUAAAUAAAUAAUAAAGAUUGCUGUGUGUGAGAAUAUGGGGCUCAGCAGACCUGCAGUCGAAAUGCUCUCUGGCCUAUUCAGUCCUAGAGAUUCUGAUCUGAACCUUUCAGCCCACAGGUCCCUAGGGCCAAGGCCUACAGACCCCAUGCCCAGGGCCUGACAUACAGUUGAGCUCUACAAUUGGUGCUGCCACGAUUUGCCAUGUUCAGAAAAGUGUGGGCACCUGGGGCUGCCAGGGUGGCCCUCAAAUGUAGCAAGAGAUGGGGAACAAGAAGUACUGCAGGCCGGGUGUGGUGGCUCACGCCUGUAAUCCCAGGACUUUGGGAGGCAGAGGCAGGAGGAUCGCUUUAGCCUAGGAGUUUGAGACCAGCCUGAGCAACAUAGUGAGACCGCUGUCGCUACAAAAAAAUUAAAAAAUUAGCCAGGCAUGGUGGUGGGCACCUGUGGUCUCAGCUCUUGGGGGGCGGAAGCAGGCAG
rnacentral:lncRNA from 10 species